AUUGAACGCUGGCGGUAUGCUUAACACAUGCAAGUCGAACGGUAACAGGCCUUCGGGCGCUGACGAGUGGCGGACGGGUGAGUAACGCGUAGGAAUCUGCCUCAUAGUGGGGGACAACGUGGGGAAACUCACGCUAAUACCGCAUACGCCCUACGGGGAAAGCGGGGAUCUUCGGACCUCGCGCUAUGAGAUGAGCCUGCGUUAGAUUAGCUAGUUGGUAGGGUAAAGGCCUACCAAGGCGACGAUCUAUAGCUGGUCUGAGAGGACGAUCAGCCACACUGGGACUGAGACACGGCCCAGACUCCUACGGGAGGCAGCAGUGGGGAAUAUUGGACAAUGGGCGCAAGCCUGAUCCAGCAAUACCGCGUGUGUGAAGAAGGCCUUAGGGUUGUAAAGCACUUUCAAUUGGGAGGAAAAACCUGCCGGUCAAUACCCGGUAGCUUGACAUUACCUUUAGAAGAAGCACCGGCUAACUCCGUGCCAGCAGCCGCGGU
rnacentral:rRNA from 1 species